rnacentral:lncRNA from 1 species
CUCGGAGCGAGCCCGCCCAGCUCCCGCCCCGCCCGCCCACACCCCGGCUCGGAACUCGCUCAGCAGCCGCCUCCGAGCGGCUCCACCCCCCUAGAGCCGUUUCGAACCUCGUUCGGUGCCCGCCUCCAAGCGGUCCCGCUCGGCCCCCCCGGUCCGCCCCUCCGGCUCAGAGCACGGCCAGCCCGCCCCCGCCCCCGAGCUGGUCCGCACUUCAGUCUCGCCACACCUCAGCCCACAGACACCGCUUGCCGCCUUUCCCUCAGAGCACACAGAUUCUUCUCACGCGCUGAGAUCACCUGUUGCUUACCUGUCCGCUCGUGCGGCUUAUAUAGGUGUCCCGGCCGCCCGCCAGCCAAUAGGAGCCCAGAACGCCGGUUUCUUUUCCCACCGCUUUUGCUUCCCGCCGAUUUCGGUUCCCGCCUCACCGCUCGCGCCCUUUUUGCUGAAGGCGACCGGGGCGGGGUCAACUGAGGGUCACGGGCUCCUCGCUGCGCUGCCGCCUUUACCCUCAAGGCAGAGCCGCCUCACAGGUGGUCGCUGUGAGGCCACAGCGUUCUGGUGGAGCUGCGUGUGGGGCACUCAUUUCUUCAGUUUCCAUUCUCAUCUUCUAGGUUUGUUCCUGAAGGUCAGAACUAUAUUAUGCUCUUCAGUGAUGACUCCCAUCAUUCUUGAAGAUCUUCUGAGAAGGAAUACAAAAAAAGUUUACUUGAUAAUUUCCAUGGCUGAAGAGAAAUUAUAUCAGUUUGACCUAUGCAACAAAACACUGUGUUUCAGUGUCUCUGGAUACUUGGUUAAAGUUCAGUCUAUUGCAUUUAAGAGAGUUGUUUCAAAAUGUCUGAUCGGUGUCUGCAAGUGUUUUCAGAGCAACUAUAUUUCUGAUAGUGGAGUGCUGUACAUCAGAUGAAGGCAUAAUAUUAUCCAAGAAUAAAACCUGUUUUAAAACAAAAUGAAAGAUACA